rnacentral:rRNA from 1 species
UUCCAGACUCCUACGGGAGGCAGCAGUGAGGAAUAUUGGUCAAUGGACGCAAGUCUGAACCAGCCAUGCCGCGUGCAGGAUGACGGCUCUAUGAGUUGUAAACUGCUUUUGUACGAGGGUAAACCCCGAUACGUGUAUCGGGUUGAAAGUAUCGUACGAAUAAGGAUCGGCUAACUCCGUGCCAGCAGCCGCGGUAAUACGGAGGGUGCGAGCGUUAAUCGGAAUUACUGGGCGUAAAGCGCUCGUAGGCGGUAUGUCAAGUCAAGGGUGAAAUCCCCGCGCUCAACGUGGGAACUGCCUUUGAAACUGGCAAACUGGAGUGUGUGAGAGGAUAGUGGAAUUCCAGGUGUAGGAGUGAAAUCCGUAGAUAUCUGGAGGAACAUCAGUGGCGAAGGCGACUAUCUGGCACAUAACUGACGCUGAGGAGCGAAAGCGUGGGUAGCAAACAGGAUUAGAUACCCCAGUAU